CCUACGGGGGGCAGCAGUGAGGAAUAUUGGUCAAUGGCCGGAAGGCUGAACCAGCCAAGCCGCGUGAAGGACGAAGGUGCCAAGCAUUGUAAACUUCUUUUGUCAAGGGACAAAAUCAGGCUCGAGAGCCUGACCGAGGGUACUUGAUGAAUAAGCAUCGGCUAACUCCGUGCCAGCAGCCGCGGUAAUACGGAGGAUGCGAGCGUUAUCCGGAUUUAUUGGGUUUAAAGGGUGCGUAGGCGGACUGUUAAGUCAGCGGUAAAAGCCCGGGGCUCAACCCCGGCGAGCCGUUGAAACUGGCUGGCUUGAGAGGUCGGGAGGUAUGCGGAAUGCGCAGUGUAGCGGUGAAAUGCUUAGAUAUUGCGCAGAACUCCGAUUGCGAAGGCAGCAUACCGGCGGCGAUCUGACGCUGAGGCACGAAAGCGUGGGUAUCGAACAGGAUUAGAUACCCGAGUAGUC
rnacentral:rRNA from 1 species